GACGAACGCUGGCGGCGUGCUUAACACAUGCAAGUCGAACGGAAAGGCCCUGCUUUUGUGGGGUGCUCGAGUGGCGAACGGGUGAGUAACACGUGAGUAACCUGCCCUUGACUUUGGGAUAACUUCAGGAAACUGGGGCUCAUACCGGAUAGGAGCUCCUGCUGCAUGGUGGGGGUUGGAAAGUUUCGGCGGUUGGGGAUGGACUCGCGGCUUAUCAGCUUGUUGGUGGGGUAGUGGCUUACCAAGGCUUUGACGGGUAGCCGGCCUGGGAGGGUGACCGGCCACAUGGGGACUGAGAGACGGCCCAGACGCCUACGGGAGGCAGCAGGGGGGAAUAUUGCGCAAUGGGCGGAAGCCUGAGGCAGCAACGCCGGGUGCGGGAUGACGGCCUUCGGGUUGUAAACCUCUGUCGCCUGUGACGAAGCGUGAGUGACGGUAAUGGGUAAAGAAGCACCGGCUAACUACGUG
rnacentral:rRNA from 1 species